CGGCCGCAUCAUGUUGAAACAUGGGUUACCGUACAAUCACAGAAGUUAAGCAAUGUUGAGCCUGUCUAGUUCCUUCAUGGGUGACCACUUGGGAAUACCAGGUGCU